CCUACGGGAGGCAGCAGUGGGGAAUUUUCCGCAAUGGGCGAAAGCCUGACGGAGCAACGCCGCGUGAGGGAUGAAGGCCUCUGGGCUGUAAACCUCUUUUAUCAAGGAAGAAGAUCUGACGGUACUUGAUGAAUAAGCCACGGCUAAUUCCGUGCCAGCAGCCGCGGUAAUACGGGAGUGGCAAGCGUUAUCCGGAAUUAUUGGGCGUAAAGCGUCCGCAGGCGGCCCUWCAAGUCUGCUGUUAAAAAGUGGAGCUUAACUCCAUCAUGGCAGUGGAAACUGWUGGGCUYGAGUGUGGUAGGGGCAGAGGGAAUUCCCGGUGUAGCGGUGAAAUGCGUAGAUAUCGGGAAGAACACCAGUGGCGAAGGCGCUCUGCUGGGCCAUCACUGACGCUCAUGGACGAAAGCCAGGGGAGCGAAAGGGAUUAGAUACCCCUGUAGUCCUGGCCGUAAACGAUGAACACUAGGUGUCGGGGGAAUCGACCCCUYCGGUGUCGUAGCCAACGCGUUAAGUGUUCCGCCUGGGGAGUACGCACGCAAGUGUGAAACUCAAAKGAAUUGACGG
rnacentral:rRNA from 1 species